rnacentral:sRNA from 12 species
CUGAGAGUAUCCGAAAGGUCUCUCAGUCUCUUUAACCGUAUAUUUAGUUCUAGUUAAAAGAGACUAAUGCCACGAUUUGCUUAUUCGAAGAUAUAUAGUAGAAUAAUUUAUCUUGAAUUAACAAGAUACUCAAGAGCCUUGAGCCAGAGUGGAAAAUUCUGAGCCACUGAUCA